rnacentral:lncRNA from 1 species
GCAUGACAAGCCCAAAUUGGCAAAUGGCGGCCUUAGUUUCCAGUCCAAUGGAACUAUUUUCAUGUCCUCUGGUGGAAGCAUUCCUCCCUUGGGCUUCUCUCAUGGAUCACAGGAUGCCUGUAGGAACUUGCACAGCCAUUUGACUCCUGAGUCAACCUGAAAGCGCCAACUUGAGAGUGCGAGGGAGUUAACUAGCAACUGGGAAACCCUUGACCAAUGAGGAGCACGAGCUGGUUGAACCACCAUCAGAAUUCCCCACUAAGUGCGUGUCAGUUGUGAAGAAAACACAGCAAGAGGAGACACGAGCUCUUCCAGAUGUUAACGGCAAGGGUUAAACAUUUUCCAAGUCCAACUAGAAUACAUGACCAAUGCUUCCUCCUGCCUGCAUGGGGUUCGUAUUUCCUGUUUUUGUGGGAGUCUCACAGACCACUUAGACUGUACGUGUAGAGGUCACGAUUUACCCUUGUGUAGUUAGAUGUGUGAAAUAUGUAUCUGUUAGCGGAAGUUACCUUUGGUAACGGAGGGGAAAAGCAAUAUUACUGCAUCUGGGCCUUCAACCCCCAACCUCCCAUCAGCUACUCUUCCCGCUGCAUGCCUCUGUCCACAUGGCUAACUUUUAAUAUGUAUGUUUUUACAUUAUGUAAAUCCUUAAUCAGACUGUCUUGUUUAGAUUGUAUAUGCCAUUAUAUCGGACAUUCUUGUAACUACUGUGUGGUCAAUAAGAUUCCUGUAAGAAAUUCUGCUUUUUAAAAAACAAAA